AUACGUAGGGUGCAAGCGUUAAUCGGAAUAACAGGGCGCAAAGCGUGCGCAGGUCGGUUUGUAAAACAGAGGUAAAAUCCCCCAACACAACCUCAGUACUUCCCUUACGACUCCAAAACAAGAGCACAGCAGAGAGGGAAUGGAUUCCUCAUGGAACCGUACAAUGCGUAGAUAUGCGCAGGAAAACAGAUGGCGAAGGCAAUCACCUGGGCCUGUACUGACGCUCAUGCACGAAAGCGGGGGGAGCAAACAGGAUUAGAUUCCCUGGUAGUCCACGCCCUAAACGAUGUCAACUGGUUGUUGGGUCUUCAUUGACUCAGUAACGAAGCUAACGCGUGAAGUUGACCGCCUGGGGAGUACGGCCGCAAGGUUGAAACUCAAAUGAAUUGACGGGG
rnacentral:rRNA from 1 species